AAUCAAUUCUUUUGUUUGAUGUGUAUGUGAAGUGUGUGUGAACCCCAAACCUUUAUUUGCUUGAUUUUCAAAUGAAGCCGUCUUCUGACACAAAAUAGGCUGUGCUGGGUUCCUUUAAAUUAUGCAAACCAAGAUUUAAAACAGACCAGGAGAAAAGUGUUUCACUCUCUUUUGCUCAGUUUCUUUGAGGUCGCCUGAGUUCUGGCAUGUGAUAGGUGGAUCUGAGUUUCAUUGCUGGAAGUAAAAUGGGAACCAUGUCUAAUGAUCUUUAACUGAGUAUUUUCAACACAUGGUUCGUAGUCAAGCAGUUUCCUGGCAAUUGUGUUUUCUGGGAUGGAUCCCGGGUCAUUAUGCCUGCAUGCAGAGGGAUCUGCUGGCACUGGAGUGCUGGGCUAUCAGUUAUUACCUCAUCAUGAGAAGACAGGUCCAUCUCACUUUUGAUGUUCUUUAAAGUGGAGAUCUCACUACCAGGAGAAAUGCUGUUUUUUACUUUUUUGUUGAUAUGAGUGUCAUUGUUAGAAGUAUGAUGGAGAUGAUGUUGAAUGAUCUUUCCCUGAGUUUUGCUUCAACACGUGGGUUGUAGUCAAGGAGUUUGCUGGAAAUUGUGUUUCCUGGGAUGGAUCCCAGAUCAUUAUGGAAGCAGAGUGAUCUGCUGGCACUGGAGUGCUUGGGUACGCUUUCAUUUUCAUUUGUUUGUUUUCUUUUAUUCGUGUGCUGUCAAGUGUGUGUGUGUGUGUAUGUUUGUGUAUAUUAAUGCUAAUAGAUUUUCAGUCAAAACAUACAUCAGUGGGCCACUGAGAGGGCUAAACUGAUAAAUAUUCUUGCCAGCAUGACUGACAACUCCAAUUUGAUCCCUCAGACUGAAAUGGUGAGAGGAGAGAACCGAUGUCUAUAAAUUAUCCUUGGUCUUGUCUCCUUUGCCCCAACCCUAUCACAUGACAUCACAGUCAAAUUUGAUCAAAGCUUGAGCUUUGGCAUGUGAUAGGUGGAUCUGAGCGUCCUAUCCUGGAAGUACAUUGGGGAUGAGGUUGAAUGAUGUUUACCUCAGUUUUUGCUUCUAUGUCAGACUUAUAUUCUAGCAGUUUGCUGGCAAUUUUUGUGUUGUCCCUGGAAACGGCACAGUGCAGGACUGUAUUUCCACUUAAAUCACUCAGGUGGGAAUUAGCACCCUGAAUCAGUAAUAUAGUUAUGCAUUCUACAUUGCCCCUCUGUGUGGCCUGUUGGUAUUGUAUAAAGAAAGAGACAUUCAAUUCAAGAAAGUCAAGAUAAAUAUUUCUAAAAUUGCAUUGAAUAGUUACACUUAGAUCAGAGAAAUUGCUCAGCUUAUGCAUAUUUCCCUCUCUUUUUAAGACAGGGUCUUCUUAAGUACCCUAGUCUUGCCUAAAUUCAUAAUCUCCCCACCAAAGCUUUCCAAGUGACAGAAUUUCAGGAGUGUGCCAAUACACCUAGAUAUUAAAGCAUCUCAUCAGCACUAGUUGGUUGCUGUUAUAGUGAGGGAGGUUGCUUGUUCAUUUGUUUUGCUAACUUGACACAGGCUGAAGAUCCCUGGAAAGAGGGAUCCUCACUUGAGGAAUUGCCUCUAUCAGACUGGGCUGUGGGAAAGUCUGUGGAGCAUUUUCUUGAUUGAGGUUGAUGUGGGAGGGCACCUCUUCCAAGAGGUGGUUGCACAGCUUGGCAGGUAGUCCAGAGUAUUCUAAGAAAGCUGCAAGCCUUGGAAAAAGCCAUGGAAAAGCAGCAUUGCCCCCAUGAUCUCUGCUUCAGUUCCUGCCUCUGGUUCCUGACUUGAGCUCCUGCCCUGGUUUCCCUUCAUGAUGGACUGUGAUGUGGAAUUGUGCACCAAAUAAACAUUUUCUUUCCCAA